rnacentral:tmRNA from 1 species
GGGGCCGAUUAGGAUUCGACGCCGGUAGCAAAACUUGAGGGGCAUGCCGAGUUGGUAACAGAACUCGUAAAUAAACUGUUGCAAACCUCCAUAAUU